CCCGCCCAAAGGGGUCUCCGCAGGGCCCCCCCGCAGGGCCCCGCCCAAACUGGGGUCCCAGGGUCGGGCGUGUUUGAGGACCGAGUGUGCUCAGCAGGCCUGGCGGGGGGCGGGGCUGGCUAACGGCUCACAAAGUCCCUCACCGAGGCCACAAUGUGGCCAGAACAAGGGCUCCCGAGACCGCUGGGACCGGGGCUGGGGUCCGUGGAGCUAGCUGCAGGAGCCCUGGGGCCACCGAGUGUCCCACGCCCCAGAGCCGAGCGUCACGGUGUCACCGGGCCUUGAGGCUGGUGUGGCUCCACGUGGCAGGGCCACACCACCGUCACGCGGCCACCUCAGCUAAGGGGCGGAAGGCUCAGCGGUGACCCAGAGGGGACACAACUCCUUCCGGGAGGCCACGGAAGAGUCCACGUCCCCACCCCACCCGCCUCUGCUGGGCCUUUCUCACGGGGUUCCUUGGGCGUUUCGGGGCUCAGGGCCACCCCGUCUCUCCCGCCCCAGCCCGUCACACGCUCCCCGAUGCUGGCAUCGCCCCCUGCUUGAUGGCCCCAGGCUCCCGUGGGACCCCCAGGACGUCAGGCUUCACCGAGAGGCGCCUCCCAGUCCACCCCCCAUCAGACGGCUCUCCCGGUCCCAGCCCCCCAGCUCCGCGUCCAAGGUGGUCUUGAAUCCAAUUUUCUUGUUGUUGUUGUUGAGCCACCAUUUUACCAAGCACGUUAGGAAGUGCUGAUGGGACGUGACCUCCUCUCUUCUCCCGGUCCCCCUGGAGUGAGUGUCAUCACCCCAUUUUCCAGGUGAGAAAACUGAGGCUCAGGGAGGUGACAGGACCCACCCCCAGACGCCGGUUCACCCCCUCCAGCAUCCGUCCUCCCUGGUCUGAGCGAGAGCCCCGCCCUGCCCCACCCACACCUGGACCGGGCACAGGCAGGUCGCCCCGGGGCCAGGCACGGCCAGACGGAGCCCCCGGGGCCGGAGCCUCCCUGGGCCCCUGCGGAAGGGGAGCCCCUUUCGAAGAGACGGAUCUGCAGGGACUCAGGAGAGCUGUCUGUGUGGAGGCACCUCCUUCCUGCAGCCCUUCAGCUGGGGGGCCACCUCGGAGGAGUGCCCACCCCUCCUAAGGGACCCCCAGGUCUCCACUCGUUCCCCUGGUGAGGGGCACACGAUCCGGGCUGCCCCCAGGCCCUACACCUCAGAACGGAGCCCCCACCUCGCAUGGGGUGCAGAACCCCCCUGGGGCUGCUCUCUGGGAAGGGGCCAUGUGGCCUGGAGGGUAGGGGCCCUCUGAGCCCGGGCGCCCCAGCUGUAAACAGGACGGGCAGCUGCUCCCCCUCCGGGGUCUCCCCGGCCCUGCACCCCCAGAUAACCAGCCCCGCCCCUUCUGCACACACGUGCCCCGCACUGGAGGGUCCGGGUCCUCCCUCCGGGGGGCCAUGGCGUGGCUGACGUGCUCCCCGGCAGUGCUGGCCUCUGGCCCACCUCCCACUCAACCCUACCGUGGAACCCCAACCCGGAGCCAGAGCCCGCAGGAAGGCCCGGAGGCGAGCCCCCCGCCAGAGAGCCCUGCCGUCCGCUCCAGCCGCGCUGGGGGGGCCGCCCGGGGCUCCGACUGCCCCGUCCACGCCGGGCCCAGACCGCACGGAGCAACGCGGCUAGUUAAAAGUUUUAUUGAUUGAGCACAAUUGAGUGUAAGUAGUAAAAGUUCUCCUGAUGUAACCCACUUUUUCUUAAUGGGUAAUCUCAGACACUCAAGUUUGUAUGUUAAAGGAGGUUUAGGACAAUUUAAUAGCUCAUAAAAUUUUAUAGUCCCAGUUGAAAUCAGAGUGAUAACCCAGGCCUGCACAGCUAUAGUUUGCUAAAUGUCUCUCAUCUAUUUUUUCUCCUGUUUAUUGGAAAGUUAACAUCUGCUCUGCUAUCGGGGGUGGGGGGCAGAAGGAAAAUGAUCUAUUUUUCCAGAGGAGAGGUAAGAGGUUCGGGCUCUCCUGGCAGCCUCCUCUCCUCCAAACACACGACUUCCCUGUAAGUGGGAAGGGGGCUCAGGGCCGGGGCUGACCCGAGGUUCACCGCACAGCGCGCAGGCCCCGCGCCCCACGGCGGCUGCCGAGACAGGAGCAUCUACCAGGGCCGGGCCCUGCCUUGGGAUCAGCUCGGAUCUGUCAGAGCUCACAACCAGGAAGUGUACAAAGCCCCUACUGUGUGCAUGGUCGGGGCGAGGGGGCAGGACACAAAGAACUAGGACGCAAGCUCUCAGCUUCAGAAGCUAAAACCGUGCCGAGCUCUGCGCCCGGCACAGCGGCCAGAGGGCGCCGGGAAGAGUGGCCUUUCCACGGUGCCUGGGGGGGGCAAGCUGGGUCGGGGCUCCAGGGAUGGGUGAGCUUUAGAGUCGGUGGAAGGGACAGAGAGCCCAGCGUCCUGGCUGCACCACUGACCAGCUGCAACCUGCCCUGGGGAGCCCAGUGUCCCGGUCUUUGCAGCGGGAAUCACAUCAGCCCGACAUCCCAGGGCCGGCGUAAGGGUGAAAUAACGUGCGGAAAGGCGGCCGGUAUCCGGUGCUCAAAACGUGUCACUAUAGAGACCUGGAGGGAAACCGUGCGGUGGGUUCUGAGAAAGUCAGACACAGAAGGUCCGUGUCACCCAGCACUACCGGCCCCAGGACACGUGCGCCCAGAAAGAUUGAAAACUGGCAGCCAAGUACACACACACACGUGGCUGGAGCCCCAUCAUAGUGGUCAAAAGGUGCAAACAGGCCGGGCGCGGUGGCUCACGCCUGUAAUCCUAGCACCCUGGGAGGCCGAGGCGGGUGG